rnacentral:lncRNA from 1 species
CUGUUGUAAUCGAACUGUCAUCUCUGAAGUUUGACACCAGUGUUAUUCUAGCAGCGUUGUGUUGAUGCUCGUUUAGAAUUAGCGUGCGACCUUCAGAGCACUGACACUGAUGACCUUCAUCACGUGUUGGAGGAUCUUCUGCUGCAGGCGUUAGUUUGUCUCUGUUCUGAGCUCAUGACAUCAACAGUGAGGUGAUUCUGAUGCCAAACCGGCUCUGAUCCACUGACGCUGGGUUUUCACUCAUGGAACUUGGUGAGAAGAUUUGGAGACCUCACACAGACCUUUUCUCGUUUUUUGUGAGCCAACAGUCCAACGAGGAUUCCUUUCAGGUUUUGGCUUCAUGCACAGUUUAAAUCCAUGAAUCUGAGCCAGUAAUUUGAUGUAACGGUGGGAUUCACAUGUGUAGUUGCCGCUGUUCCUGGGUUUGUCUUUGGUGUUUUUGUGUUUGUGCGUGUGUUUCAGUCCUCUGGGUCACUGUGUUUGAUCAAUAAACCUGUGCUAGUGUCUAAUCGGCUGAUUCUUCAUUUGAACUUGUCGUCUUGUGUGUUUUCACGUGUUGCACACGAGGCCAUGAACCGGAUGCGUUGGCUUCAAACACAGAAAAGCUGGUGAGGAGCAACAGCGGCCUCUGCUGAGCCGCUCGGAGCAGGAGAGGGAGCAAAUCAGGGAGCUGAUCCAUUUCAGCUGCUGUGACAGGAGGCGAAGCCGCACUUUGUUAGAAGCUGUGAGAGUCGACUGACGUUGGUUUCACAUGUUCAAUAGAUUUAGCCGUAAAAUGCUACGACCGCUGCUCAUUCUUCUGCUGGUGGGCGCUCUGUUCCGGAAAGACUGUGAAGCACAGAUCAGCAGAGAUGGAGCCACGGCGCCUCCAGGUGAGACGAAAAACCAGCGGUGGCAGGAAACGUUUGUAGAGGCUGACGUCUAGACGUUCCUGAGAGAAUCUGUGGACUGAGCCGCUUUGUUGAAGGAUGUGAUGCAGAGAGGCCUGUUUCAUGUUGAACCCUUAGACGUGAGGAUGUUCAGGCUAAACCGACUGAAGGACCCACGACCAGCGGGACUUUGACGCCGGUUCGUGUCUCUGUGGGAAGUAGAAUGUGGUUGUGGGUUGUUGAAGCUGGUUCUGUGUCUUUUCGCCCACUAACACGAGAGUCGGGGACACCAGCCCGACGCCGUACGGCGCCCUAUGAGCUUCGCGCUAGAGCGAGCCCCUGUAA